UACGUAGGGUGCAAGCGUUAUCCGGAAUUAUUGGGCGUAAAGAGCUCGUAGGCGGCUUGUCGCGUCGACCGUGAAAACUCACAGCUCAACUGUGAGCUUGCGGUCGAUACGGGCAGGCUCGAGUUCGGUAGGGGAGACUGGAAUUCCUGGUGUAGCGGUGAAAUGCGCAGAUAUCAGGAGGAACACCGGUGGCGAAGGCGGGUCUCUGGGCCGAUACUGACGCUGAGGAGCGAAAGCGUGGGGAGCGAACAGG
rnacentral:rRNA from 1 species